GACGAACGCUGGCGGCGUGCUUAACACAUGCAAGUCGAACGGAAAGGCCCUGCUUUUGUGGGGUGCUCGAGUGGCGAACGGGUGAGUAACACGUGAGUAACCUGCCCUUGACUUUGGGAUAACUUCAGGAAACUGGGGCUAAUACCGGAUAGGAGCUCCUGCUGCAUGGUGGGGGUUGGAAAGUUUCGGCGGUUGGGGAUGGACUCGCGGCUUAUCAGCUUGUUGGUGGGGUAGUGGCUUACCAAGGCUUUGACGGGUAGCCGGCCUGAGAGGGUGACCGGCCAAAUGGGGACUGAGAUACGGCCCAGACUCCUACGGGAGGAAGCAGGGGGGAAUAUUGAACAAGGGGGGGAGGCCGGAUGCAGCAACGCGGCGGGCGGGAGGACGGCCUUCGGGUUGAAACCGCUUUCGCCUGUGACGAAGCGUGAGUGACGGUAAUGGGUAAAGAAGCACCGGCUAACUACGUG
rnacentral:rRNA from 1 species